UACGUAGGGUGCGAGCGUUUAAUCGGAAUUACUGGGCGUAAAGCGUGCGCAGGCGGUUUUGUAAGCCAGAUGUGAAAUCCCCGGGCUUAACCUGGGAAUGGCAUUUGGGACUGCAAGGCUUGAGUUUGGCAGAGGAGACUGGAAUUCCUGGUGUAGCAGUGAAAUGCGUAGAUAUCAGGAGGAAUACCGAUGGCGAAAGGCAGGUCUCUGGGCUAGAACUGACGCUCAUGCACGAAA
rnacentral:rRNA from 1 species